rnacentral:misc_RNA from 1 species
AACGCACAUUGCGCCCCUUGGUAUUCCAUUGGGCAUGCCUGUUCGAGCGUCAUUUACACCCUCAAGCUCCGCUUGGUGUUGGGCGUCUGUCCUUGCUACACGCAAAGACUCGCCUUAAAUUCAUUGGCAGUGGCACCGUCGGCUUCUCGCGCAGCACAUUGCGCUAUAGAAGGCUACCGGCAGUCCAGCUACCAUCAAGAAACUACCCAGUUUGACCUCGAAUCAGGUAGGGAUACCCGCUGAACUUAA